rnacentral:lncRNA from 1 species
GCUUCACAUUUUUAUACGACCGCAAAAUUUGAAAAAUUUUUCGUCGUAUAUUGCUAUCACGUUGGCGUCGUCGUCUGCGUCGUCGUCGUCGUCCGAAUACUUUUAGUUUUCGCACUCUAACUUUAGUAAAAGUGAAUGGAAAUCUAUGAAAUUUUAACACAAGGUUUAUGACCACAAAAGGAAGGUUGGUAUUGAUUUUGGGAGUUUUGGUCCCAACAUUUUAGGAAUUAGGGGCCAAAAAGGGCCCAAAUAAGCAUUUUCUUGGUUUUCGCACUAUAACUUUAGUUUAAGUUAAUAGAAAUCUAUGAAAUUUUGACACAAGGUUUAUGACCACAAAAGAACGGUUGGAUUGAUUUUGGAGUUUUGGUUUCAACAGUUUAGGAAUUAGGGGCCAAAAAAGGGCCCAAAUAAGCAUUAUUCUUGGUUUUCGCACAAUAACUUUAGUUUAAGUAAAUAGAAAUCAAUGAAAUUUAAACACAAUGUUAAUGACUACAAAAGGAAGGUUGGUUAAUGAUUUUGGGAGUUUAGGUCCCAACAGUUUAGGAAU